rnacentral:sRNA from 1 species
GGUGUUGGAGAGAGGGGUGAUGCCUGGUGCUGGUGGAACCCCUGCACAGAGACGGACACAGGAUGAGCUCUAAGUACCCGCGGUCUGUCCGGUGCUGCCUGCCCCUCUGCGCCCUAACACUGGAAGCAGCUCUCAUUCUCCUCUUCUAUUUUUUUACCCAGUACGAUGCUUCCUUAGAGGAUCAAAAGGGGCUCGUGGCGUCCUAACAAGGGGCUGGGAAGUCUGCAUGCUGUCUGUAAAUCCAGAACCAGAAGUCGGCCAAGAUCUGACCGUGAUGGCGGCCCUUGGCUUGGGCUUCCUCACCUCAAAUUUGCGGAGACACAGCUGGAGCAGUGUGGCCUUCAACCUCUUCAUGCUGGCGCUUGGUGUGCAGUGGGCAAUCCUGCUGGACGGCUUCCUGAGCCAGUUCCCUCCUGGGAAGGUGGUCAUCACACUGUUCAGUAUUCGGCUGGCCACCAUGAGUGCUAUGUCGGUGCUGAUCUCAGCAGGUGCUGUCUUGGGGAAGGUCAACUUGGUGCAGUUGGUGGUGAUGGUGCUGGUGGAGGUGACAGCUUUAGGCACCAUGAGGAUGGUCAUCAGUAAUAUCUUCAAC